AUGUUGAGUGACUCUCCACAGACAGCUUUAGGAAAAAACACUUCAGAACAAGAGGCUUCUCCGGCAGCAGCCGCUAUGGAGAACCGCCCAACAGAAAAACAAACCAAAAAGAUGAAGAAAAAAGGCAUCUGUGCAUUCUUCCGGCGGAUUGGGAAAACUAUAAAGCGUUGCACCCUACAUUGCUACGUGGACGACAUAUUGCCCCCAAUUCCAUGCGAUGAUCCAGCGGAUCUCCAGCCAGGUUUAUCUGGCCUUGAAUGGGCGUUAUCAAUCGAUCCAUGUCCAUCUGGUGUCGAGCUGACGAUUAACACCAAUCCGGCUGAUCCUGAGGCGCCAUUGGUCUCAGGACCAUCCAGUCUUGAGGUGACAUCUGACAGUGAUCAGACUGAUUCAGAGCCAUCACUUGUCCCAGGUCCAUCCAGCCUCGAUUUAAAGUUAACACUGGAUUCAAGUCUAUCCAAACUGGUUUCUGAGACCAGGAAUGUCCCAGUACCAUCUAGUCUUGAUGUAACGCCUGUACCAAGUCUAUCCAGUAUCGAGAUGAAUCCGGACAUGGAUCCAACCGAGCCCAGGCCAUCACCUGUCUCAGGUCCAUCCACACUGGAUUCUGAGAUAGCACCUGUCCCAGGUCCAUCUGGUUUUGAGGCAGCUGUUGAACAACAAUCAACAAAGAGGAAGAAGAAAGGCAUCUGUGCAUUCUUCCGCCGGACAUGGAGGGCUGUAAAGUGUGCUGCCCUCUGUUGCCAAAGGGACAACAAAGUGGCUCCAGAUCUAUUUGCCAUUGACCCAGUGGCUCAACGGGAUAUAUCAGAUCUCCAGCCAGGUUUAUUCAGCCGUGGGUGGCUAACACUUAAUGCUGAGCCAACAUAUUUGGAGCCAUCACCUGUCCCAGGCCCAUCCAAACUGAAUAAUGAGCCAGUGCCUGCCCCACAUCAAUCUGGUUAUGAGCCACCUGUUGGUAAGUCUACUGUCAUUACUAGUCUACUGUCACUACUUUUAUUAUAGUUGUUUAAUAGUGCUGUCAAACCAUUAAUCUUGAUUAAUCGCAUCCAAAAUAAACGUUUUUGUUUACAUAAUAUGGGUGUGUAC
ensembl:lncRNA